UGAGAACUUUGGGAUCCACUGAGGUCUGAGGCAUGGUGGUUCCAGAAGAAAUAAAGGGGCCAUUAGCAUGGAACUGGUCCCCCACGGACAGCACUCUGACUUCUCCGUCAGGCUCUAUCAACAUGUCUAUGCUCACAGUCUAUAGUGCAGACACUUGUGGACCCUACCACCAAAUGAGUGAACAAAAUGUGCCUGAAGAUCUUCCUCAAAGACCGAGCCAAGUACAAACUCAGCCCUUUCCUCGCGUGCUCUCUUCAUUCCCACCCGUCCACUCUACAGUUGUGUGCUCUACUCUCAAGAAUUGAUGGGAAGUUUAAAGAAUGACAGACAGAAUCUUGCUAUGAAACCCAGUCUGAUUUCAAAUUCUCAAUCCUCCUGCCUCCCCAUUCUCAAUGCUGGUAUUACAAUAAAUACAACAAAUGAUGACAGACAGAACUCACUUAAGUUAUUUAGGGUCUUCAAGUAUCACUUUAACUAUAAAGGGGUCCUGAAGCAAAAAUGUCUGAGAACCACUGAUCAGACUUCAAUGUUUUAAAGGCAAUAGUGAAGGAUUACAAAGAAUAGAUCUUUAUGCAGUAUACUACAUUUAUUUUAAAGCCUAUCCUAAUAUCAGUCCAUUUAAUGACAUUUCUGUGAGCUGGUGCCACUUGGAACCCACUUCAGUGCUAUUCCUAUGUAUUCUGGUUCAGUUUUGUGCAGCUCAAGACCAGCUUUUAUCCUCAUAUUAUGGAGUCCUUUGGCCAACUCUGAUCAAAUCUGUGGGUGAGUGCUGACCUGCAUCACUUGUUUGACCGCAACAUAGAAGAAUAUAAAUGUUUUAAAUUUGAGUUUGUGCUGAAAAGAAAGUAAAUGCUUCAUGCUCUUUGUCUUAUUGUAAAGACCUGGCUAUCUCUAGGAAAGGCCACUGAGGAGGUCUGUGCUUCCUUCUGACCUGAGGCUCCAGUAUGGCACCUCUACGGAUGCCACACUGCCUGGCAAAACAUAUGUUGACGCCAGCAAAGACUAGGUGGAAAGUUUCAACUUCCUGUCUCAAAGUAUAAGGAACAAAAUCCAUCGAAUCUUUGAGUUGGUAACUAAAAAAUGAGAGUAGAAAGGCGCCAGUGUGCUUAGAGGCACCGUGCAGACUGACCUUCCGUCUGCGCCCGUGGGAGGAGUAGUACACCUGCCUUUCGCACAGGGGACUCCGCCCGCCCCAACUCCUGGAUUGGGAAAUAAAGCAACUGCAGUUAGGAAGCAACCUUCCCAUCAGCCUUUGGAGUAUCCUAUGGUCUUCUGCACACCAAAGUCUUCCUAUCUUUUCCUUUAGGCUUUUGCAAUAGUGCAGGACAGCUAAAGAAUGCUGUCCAUGAACUUGACAAAAUCAGUAUUCACAAUUUCUAUGGAAUGGAGUAUUUUGGAGCCCCCUGGUUGUGUUAACACCAAAGAUAGUUUGCUGAACUAAUGCCCAGAGGAAAAAAAUAAAACCAUGUACAUUAUUUUUAGCCAUUAAAUCAGGUGGCUAGCUGGCAAUGAGAUAAAGUAUUACAUGGAGAAGAGGAGAAAACAAAGCGGCUUCAGCGUGUCUUCUAUUUGCAAUCUAAAAGAAGAGAAAAGGAGGAACUCACAGUGGCCCCCGAUUUCAGCUGAAACCUCUGAGCUCAGUACUUGGAAUAUCCCGCCUAAUGUCAAUAUAUGUUUAAAAUGCCACCAAAUUUAGAAAAAUUAAAAAAAAAAAAACACCUGAAUUUAAGAAUAGCCUGUGCCCGUUGAUGCCCCUCACGCUAUGACUCUCUUCAGACAGAAAAGGGAUCUUGGAACUACAGCCACCAUUGUUACUGCCAUCUCAUUGGCGGCUGUUGGAGCUACCACCGCGGCAUUAGCCAUGAGUCAUACUGGGCAGACUGCUCAGACCCUGAAUAAUCAUUUAGCCAAUGUAGCUCAUGCCUUAGUUGUACAAAAAGGAAUUAAUGCUCAACUAAAAGGAAGCUUGAUGGUGUUCAAUCAGAGGAUUGACCUCGUGCAGGAGCAAAUUGAUACCCUAUGGCAAAUUGCUCAACUUGGUUGUCAAUGAAAAUAUGCUGGACUUUGAGUCACUAGCAUAUAACAUGAGAAUUUUUCCUGUGCUGCAAAUCUGUCUAAACAAUUGUCGAGCUAUAUUUUAGGUAAUUGGACUGG